GCCAGCAUGGCAUAGUGGUUUGAGUGUUGGACUGACUCUGGAGAGACCAGGGUUCAAUUCCCAGUUCAGUCA
rnacentral:tRNA from 1 species